rnacentral:sRNA from 1 species
AGUGUAAUAAGGUCCCGGAGAAGUGUCACUGGCCCUGAGUGGGACCCGGUAGCCCGUUCGCUCCGCGCCGGAGGCCUGUCCCCGCGGCUUGGCGGGCUAGGGCAGGGGAAAUGUUGCAGGAGGAGUCGGACCUCUCUCUCAUUAUUGCCCAGAUAGUCCAAAAGCUCAAGGGCUCCAAUUUGUACUCUCAGCUGGAACGGCAGGCCUGGGCCAGUCUUCAGAGACCUGAGAUUAAACUUGAAUCACUGAAAGAAGAUAUUAAGGAAUUCUUUAAAAUAUCAGGUUGGGAGAAGAAACUUCAGAAUGCUGUUUAUAGUGAACUGAGUGUGUUUCCUUUACCUAGUCAUCCUGCUGCACCUCCUGAACAUCUUAAAGAACCUUUGGUAUACAUGAGGAAAGCACAGGGAAGUUGGGAAAAAAGAAUUUUGAAGAGUUUAAAUAGUAUGUGCACUGAACUGAGUAUCCCACUGGCACGAAAGAGGCCAGUUGGAGAACAGAAAGAACUUCUUAAUAAAUGGAAUGAAAUGGGAACUGAUGAACCAGAUUUAAGCCUUUUCAGACCUGUUUAUGCACCUAAGGAUUUUCUUGAGGUAUUAAUUAAUCUUCGCAACCCAAAUUAUGAAAACGGUGAUUCUCUUAGUUUCAGGACUCAUUUGGGUUUAAUUCAAGUUCCACUGAAAGUAAAAGACAUCCCUGAAUUGAAAGAAUGCUUUGUGGAACUUGGCUUAAAUAUAGGACAACUGGGUAUAGAUGAUUCUACACAAGUGCCUCCUGAACUUUUUGAAAAUGAGCAUGUACGUAUUGGGCAAAAAGUUCUAGCACAACAAGAUAGUGCUGCUGCUCAACAGUACAUCAGACAAGGAAGUCCCACGGCACUGAGAGCUGAAUUGUGGGCUCUCAUUUUGAAUAUUUCCAGCCAACCUGAGGAUGUCUUGUAUUAUGAGCAGCUUAAGACCAAUGUGAUACAACAUGACCUUUUGGUGGACAGUCUAAUCUAUAAAGAUGUGAAGUUGACAGCAAGCAAUGAUGAUUAUUAUUUUGUAUUUGAAGAUUAUUUAUAUCAGGUAUUACUUUGUUUUUCCCGGGAUACAUCUGUGUUGAGUCACUUUGCAUUCAACAGUGCCUCGCCACCAAAAUCAUACAUAAGAGGAAAACUAGGACUGGAAGAAUAUGCUGUCUUUUACCCACCAAAUGGUGUUAUCCCUUUUCAUGGAUUUUCAAUGUAUGUUGCACCACUUUGUUUUCUAUACCAUGAACCUUCCAAAUUGUAUCAGAUAUUCCGUGAGAUGUAUGUGCGUUUUUUCUUCAGACUCCAUUCCAUCUCUUCUCAUCCUUCUGGUAUUGUGUCACUCUGUCUGCUGUUUGAAACUCUACUUCAAACUUAUCUUCCCCAACUCUUUUAUCAUCUACGAGAAAUUGGGGCUCAACCACUUCGCAUAUCAUUUAAGUGGAUGGUUCGAGCUUUCUCUGGAUACUUAGCUACAGAUCAGCUCUUGCUUUUAUGGGAUAGAAUCCUAGGAUACAACUCUCUGGAAAUUCUUGCUGUGCUGGCAGCUGCCGUGUUUGCUUUCCGAGCAGUGAACCUGAUGGAGGUGACAUCACUGGCUGCAGCUGAAGUAAGGAUAAGUUUCACUCAGAUGGGAUGGAAAUAGUUUCUGAGAGAUUGCCAGGCUGUCAUUUUAGUGUCUGUUGCAUAGGACACGCGUUACUUGUAGCCAGGUUUUUUAACUCGGGUAAAACCUGUUAAGUUCUGAGCUAAUAAUACUUAAGGAUUCAAAUUUCUUUAAUUACUUGAGAAAAGUCUUCUUAUGAAGGAGUAAUAAACAAGAUUAUUAUAGGAAACCAUUAUAACCAUAUGGGAAACCAGAUACCUGGUAAUUUUAAUGGAAACAAUUGGGGUUUAUGUUGCAUUUUUUUAUCGUUCAUGUCCAUGCAUUAUUUUCACAGAAGAAA